AGUGAACGCUGGCGGUAGGCCUAACACAUGCAAGUCGAACGGCAGCACAGUAAGAGCUUGCUCUUGCGGGUGGCGAGUGGCGGACGGGUGAGGAAUACAUCGGAAUCUACUUUUUCGUGGGGGAUAACGUAGGGAAACUUACGCUAAUACCGCAUACGACCUACGGGUGAAAGCAGGGGAUCUUCGGACCUUGCGCGAUUGAAUGAGCCGAUGUCGGAUUAGCUAGUUGGCGGGGUAAAGGCCCACCAAGGCGACGAUCCGUAGCUGGUCUGAGAGGAUGAUCAGCCACACUGGAACUGAGACACGGUCCAGACUCCUACGGGAGGCAGCAGUGGGGAAUAGUGGACAAUGGGCGCAAGCCUGAUCCAGCCAUACCGCGUGGGUGAAGAAGGCCUUCGGGUUGUAAAGCCCUUUUGUUGGGAAAGAAAAGCAGCAGGUUAAUACCCCGCUGUUCUGACGGUACCCAAAGAAUAAGCACCGGCUAACUUCGUG
rnacentral:rRNA from 1 species